UAUUGGUCAUACGGUCGCGAGUGUUUCCCGUUGCGUAUUGGGUCAUGCAACAACAAAACGUGUCGCUGUGUAGUAAAAGUUUAAUAUUUUCAUAGAUAUUAUUAGUUCGUAAUAAAAAGUAAACAUAAUUGAAUGUAAUCAAAAAAGUGUAGUGCGUAUUUAGUGUGUAAACAACAAAUGAUUAGAAAUUGAUGGAAAUUGUAAUAAAAGUUAAAACACACACCAAAAAAUCAAGUCACACAACAAGCGAGCGAGCGAGUGGGUGAAGCCAAAACACGUACGUACAUGUGUAAAAGCUGCAAUAACAACACGGCAUAAAUUUAUAGGCGAAAAUCAGGCAUUUUACAAGUCCAAACACCGCUUUCAUGCUCAAAACCAAGCCAGCGUACAACAUACAUACAAUAUGUGUAUGAUAAAUCGUCAAAGUGAGCGAGAAAAUAGAAGUGAAUGAAUUCGCUCACUGUGCCCUGUAAUAUUUAUAAGCAGUGAAAAAAAGCAAGAAAAUAAACAACAACAAACAAAAAAGUGACCGCAAACCCAGCUAGUAAAAGUCUAGGCAUAUGUACAUAUAUACAUAUGAACGUAUGUACAUAUAUAUUUAUGUUUUUAUAUAAAGUGCGCAUAAAAGUCCAUGCUUACAAACAUAUUUACAUGUCAAGUGUUUUUGGUGUUGUUGUGCUUUGUUUUGUGCGCUAAAAAAUCAGUAGCUAUGUGGUGUUGAUAUAUGUAUGUACAUACAACAACAAACACGCGCAUGUUUUACAACGCAACACGUUGUCUUUUCAUAUUUACAUAUGUAAAAUAAGAAAAUAUUUUUACUAAAAAUAUCAAUGACACGCGCAGCUCGCGAAACUUGCGAAAAAAAUACCAAAAUCAAAUUGUUUAACCAUUGGCAACACUGUGUAUUGUAAAAGUAAUUAAUGAAUUGCAUAAUUGUGAGAAAAGUGUGCAAAAAAAAUUAAAUCGUAAUCAUUUUAAAAAUUUAUCAACAAGUGAAGAGCUAACACAUUUUAACUUCAGCGCCUUGGAAUGGAAUUUUUCUUACUAUUGCAUAUAGUGGAGUUGCAUUUUUAUAUUUCAAUGCGCGUGAGCGAAAAUUUCUUCGAAUUUAAAUAAAGGU